rnacentral:lncRNA from 1 species
CUUUGCAUCACAGAAAUAAAUGAUAAUUUAAAGUAUAAUAAAUUUAAAACAAUUUUUUUAAAUGUAAUAAUAUAUCACAAUAUUACUAUUUUUUUCUGUAUUGAUCAAUAUUACAUUUGUUUUCUGUGUUUUUGAUCAAAUAAAUGCAGGCUUGAUGAGCAGAAGAAACUUCUUUCAAAAACAUUAAAAAUAGUAAUGUUUCCAAACUUUUGACCUGUACUGUAUAUGUGUGUGUGUGUGUGUGUGUGUAUUCUUUAAUAAAUAUAAUAAAUAUACAAAGAAGUCUAUUAAUUAUUUGUAGUAAUGGUGUGUGUGUAUAUAUAUAUAUAUAUAUAUAUAUAUAUAUACGUGUGUGUGUGUGUGUGUGUGUGUGUGAGAUAAAUAGUCUAAAUAAUGGUUUAUAGCUAUGUUGAUUUUAGUGAUUAAAGCAGAGAGGUUCUAAGGUCAUGAGAUGCUUUGUUCAGUCUGGUGAUGUAGAUAGAGCAGGUGGGACGCUGCUGUUUGAUGAUCUGACUUUGACAAACACGUGGUGGAUCUGUGAGGGCUUUGUGGUUUGAGGUUAAUGAUGGGCCUCGUCUGCUUUGGCUUUCGGAGCCGUAGAGGCCGAAUCCAUCAGGGAUGCUGACAUGUCCUGGCUUGUUGUGCUCUCUUCUCAUUGUUGUUCUGUGUGGUAAUGAAGGUACCGCAGCGCGCUUCUGCUGGAGCUCGCCAACCAGGUGGACCUGUCUCCGGCUCUCCUGGCCCGUCUGAUUGUGGAGUGUUUCCUGGAGGAGCGCCAGGCUUCAGUCGGUGAGUAGAGGGGUUUAUUUCCUGAUGAGAGACAGACCGGCUCUACUGCGGCACAUGAGUGACUAUUAAGCGUCCUGCAGGUCAUCCAGCACUAAACUGCUGCUCAGAUCAGUGCUGUGUUAUUUAUAACCCUCCAUUUAUUCUGAGCCUCGUCUACCUGAGCGGCUCCUCCUCCUCACACUAACACACACCUGACAGAAAGACCUGGAGUGCAUGUGCUGAUCAGUGUGUGGCUGAUUAGUUAGUUUCAACGUGUGUGAGGGUUUGACAUAUUCUGUUCUCGCUUAACUCCAGCAUUCAGCAACCCAACAGCAAUUCAUACAGGAACAAAUAUAAGUUUAGAUGUAUCAGUGUUCGUGACCGUGGUGUGUCCUUUGAGCACCAAUACAGACAUUUUAGCAAUAUCAAUAUGUGGUUGACAAAAAUAAGAAGUCAGAACUGUUUUGUCUGUAAAUGCUUCAGGUGAAAUUUGUCAUCCAAACAU